rnacentral:rRNA from 1 species
UACGGGGGGGGCAAGCGUUGUUCGGAAUUACUGGGCGUAAAGGGCUCGUAGGUGGCCAACUAAGUCGGACGUGAAAUCCCUCGGCUUAACCGGGGAACUGCAUCCGAUACUGGAUGGCUUGAGUUCGGGAGAGGGAUGCGGAAUUCCAGGUGUAGCGGUGAAAUGCGUAGAUAUCUGGAGGAACACCGGUGGCGAAGGCGGCGAUCCUGGACCGACACUGACGCUGAGGAGCGAAAGCCAGGGGAGCAAACGGG